rnacentral:other from 1 species
UGUUCUCUGUGGUGUUUGCCAGUGGGUUCGAGAUCCUUGAGCCUAUACUUUGCUACCACUGGGGCCGAUCUGGUAGUUGAUGUUGUGCAUGCCCGCGUUAGCGGGAAGCCUGAUUCUCUCCGAGAAGUCCCGUUCUUGAGCCUUUGGUUCAAGAGUACGGCCCGCAGCGGCAUUGCGGAGGACAC